GAGGAAAGUCCGGGCAACAUAGAGCAGUGUACUUCCUAACGGGAAGGUAUCCCGCCUUUGGCGGGAUAACAGACAGUGCCACAGAAAACAAACUACCCAUUCCCGAUUUUAUCGGGAGGGGAAAAGGUGAAAAGGUGAGGUAAGAGCUCACCGGUUUGAUGGUGACAUCAGGCGCAUGGUAAACCUUACGCGUUGAAAGGUCAAAUAAGUCACGAUCAUUCACUUGGUUAGCGGCUCGUUAAUUAAGUUGAUUCGUCAGCUUAGUCGUGACGGGUAGACUGAUUGAACCUGAUUGCGAAGUCAGGGCUAGAUAAAUGAUAAGGGCCCUGCCUUUGGCAGGGAACAGAACCGGCUUAUGAAUUCAAGACAGAACCCGGCUUA
rnacentral:RNase_P_RNA from 1 species